rnacentral:rRNA from 1 species
GACGAACGCUGACGGUGUGCUUUAGACAUGCAAGUCGAACGCGAAAGCCCUUCGGGGUUAGUAGAGUGGCGAACGGGUGAGUAACACGUGGGCAAUCUGCCCCUCGCAGGGGGACAACCGGAGGAAACUCCGGCUAAUACCCCGUACGCUUGCUGGACCGCAUGGUCCGGCAAGGAAAGGUAGCUUCGGCCAUCCGGCGAGGGAUGAGCCCGCGGUGCAUUAGCUAGUUGGUGAGGUAACGGCUCACCAAGGCAACGAUGCAUAGCUGGUCUGAGAGGAUGAUCAGCCACACUGGGACUGAGACACGGCCCAGACUCCUACGGGAGGCAGCAGUCGGGAAUCUUGCGCAAUGGGCGAAAGCCUGACGCAGCAACACCGUGUGAGCGACGAAGGCC